rnacentral:rRNA from 1 species
GGUUAAGCGACUAAGCGUACACGGUGGAUGCCCUGGCAGUCAGAGGCGAUGAAGGACGUGCUAAUCUGCGAUAAGCGUCGGUAAGGUGAUAUGAACCGUUAUAACCGGCGAUUUCCGAAUGGGGAAACCCAGUGUGUUUCGACACACUAUCAUUAACUGAAUCCAUAGGUUAAUGAGGCGAACCGGGGGAACUGAAACAUCUAAGUACCCCGAGGAAAAGAAAUCAACCGAGAUUCCCCCAGUAGCGGCGAGCGAACGGGGAGGAGCCCAGAGCCUGAAUCAGUGUGUGUGUUAGUGGAAGCGUCUGGAAAGGCGCGCGAUACAGGGUGACAGCCCCGUACACAAAAAUGCACAUGCUGUGAGCUCGAUGAGUAGGGCGGGACACGUGGUAUCCUGUCUGAAUAUGGGGGGACCAUCCUCCAAGGCUAAAUACUCCUGACUGACCGAUAGUGAACCAGUACCGUGAGGGAAAGGCGAAAAGAACCCCGGCGAGGGGAGUGAAAAAGAACCUGAAACCGUGUACGUACAAGCAGUGGGAGCACAGAGCAAUCUGUGUGACUGCGUACCUUUUGUAUAAUGGGUCAGCGACUUAUAUUCUGUAGCAAGGUUAACCGAAUAGGGGAGCCGAAGGGAAACCGAGUCUUAACCGGGCGUUAAGUUGCAGGGUAUAGACCCGAAACCCGGUGAUCUAGCCAUGGGCAGGUUGAAGGUUGGGUAACACUAACUGGAGGACCGAACCGACUAAUGUUGAAAAAUUAGCGGAUGACUUGUGGCUGGGGGUGAAAGGCCAAUCAAACCGGGAGAUAGCUGGUUCUCCCCGAAAGCUAUUUAGGUAGCGCCUCGUGAAUUCAUCUCCGGGGGUAGAGCACUGUUUCGGCAAGGGGGUCAUCCCGACUUACCAACCCGAUGCAAACUGCGAAUACCGGAGAAUGUUAUCACGGGAGACACACGGCGGGUGCUAACGUCCGUCGUGAAGAGGGAAACAACCCAGACCGCCAGCUAAGGUCCCAAAGUCAUGGUUAAGUGGGAAACGAUGUGGGAAGGCCCAGACAGCCAGGAUGUUGGCUUAGAAGCAGCCAUCAUUUAAAGAAAGCGUAAUAGCUCACUGGUCGAGUCGGCCUGCGCGGAAGAUGUAACGGGGCUAAACCAUGCACCGAAGCUGCGGCAGCGACACUGUGUGUUGUUGGGUAGGGGAGCGUUCUGUAAGCCUGUGAAGGUGUGCUGUGAGGCAUGCUGGAGGUAUCAGAAGUGCGAAUGCUGACAUAAGUAACGAUAAAGCGGGUGAAAAGCCCGCUCGCCGGAAGACCAAGGGUUCCUGUCCAACGUUAAUCGGGGCAGGGUGAGUCGACCCCUAAGGCGAGGCCGAAAGGCGUAGUCGAUGGGAAACAGGUUAAUAUUCCUGUACUU